AAUCUUUCUCUCUUAGUUUUCUCUCUUCUCCCAUUUGAGAAUUCUUAAGGAAUUCUAUUUGUUUGUAAUACUUUGGAGAUAGUAAAGUUAUCAUCUGGUGUUAGUGCCCGAGGAUGUAGGUAUAAUUUACCGAACCUCGUUAAAUCUCUUGUGUUAUUUCUUGUCCUAUUUUUCUUUCAAUAUUUGAGGGUAUAAUAGUAGUAUUUAAUUGUGCUAUUAAAUUACUAUAGAAGGGAUAUUCUGUCUAAAGAAAGACUUGGUAUUUAAGAGAUCCAUGUGAUCCACCUCUCUUCCCUGAGAAUUGAACUUUGUGUGAUUUUUUAGUACAAUAAUUUACACGCUUCCGACCCUAUUGGAACAACAUAAACUAGUUAUCAACUAUUGUACUCACUACUAUAUCAGAUUAUCAUAGAAUAAUAUUAUUGUGAAUUUACAUGAUUGUGUGUGGAAUAUGGUUUUGAUUCAUUAAUUAAUCAAGAAAAAAAAGAAUUGUAGAAACUUGCAAAUGAAUAAAAAAGCUUUCAACUAUAUUUGUGAAUUUUGAUUGAUACUUGGGAGGAAAGCAAUCAAGUAGUGCC
rnacentral:lncRNA from 1 species